UUGAUAUUUCAGGAAUCACUUUCUUUGGUAAAGUGACUGUGGAUCUCAAUCAAGAAGUUGAGUCUGAUAGAUGCUCUUCAAAGGAAGAAGCGACUGAAGCAGCUUAUAAGGUUUUGUCAGAACGUUUUCACAUCUGUUCUCCAACAGAAGCAGGUCAGACGUACAGGACAGGGAUCAUGGAAUAUUUCAACAUGCAUGAUUUACAAAAACCAACAGAAGAGUUUUUUGAUGAUGACAAUACAACAGUCUGCAAGCUCAAACUCAUCGGGCCUUUCACUUUUUAUGACAAAGAUGGCUCCACCAAGAAGAAACAGGCAGAGCAACAGGCAGCUAAAGUUGCAUUGCAGCAUCUGUCAGGGAUCCUCAACUUUACUCCAAUAUCAGAUACUGAGAAGAACUUCAAAGGUGUUCUGAAGGAGCGUCUAGAGAUGCUGGGUCUCAAAAAUCCUGUUUAUGAAGAGUAUAAAGCAGAGGCCAGUGAAGAGCCCGUCACCAGCGUAUCUAUCAAUCAGGAAGCAGUAAAAGAGCAUUUAGACCUGAAGUCUGAAAGCAUCUCCACAUCAGCACAGCUCCCAUCAGGCCAGGAACCAGUCCGUGUUCCUGUUCCUGUGCAGCCGGACCCUCCAGACUCCAGCUCUCCAGCCUCACAGAUGAAAAAGCCCAGGAUUGAUUGUCCAGAAAUCGAUGAGCUGGUGAAUGUAUAUAACCUCAAGCCACCACACAUGAAUGUGGAGAACAUGAAAUAUGAUCAGAAUGUCAAAUGUACUGUGACAGUCAACCUGGAAAAAUAUACUUGUGCAAACAAACAAAGCUACGACUCCAAGAAAGAAGCCAUUCGAAAAGCCUACCUGUUAUUCGGCCGUGCGGUGGGAAUUCUGGAUCCUAGCUCAGAUGAAAAGACGUGCAGUGCACUGGUGAAGCAGCACUUUUCUCAGAAGUCUCUUAUUCUUCCUCAGGAAGAUGUUGAAGGAUCUGUAAAGCCAUUUUACUGCUCACUUAAAAACAUAACUUACGAUGUGAAGUAUGAUGGACAAGGGUGUUCAGAAGGUGAAGCCAAGUUACAAGCUCUCCAGAAUGCCUUACAUGCACUAUCACCUCUCUUUGAUUAUGCUUCACUACCGGGAGCGGAUAGUCCUGAAGAGGUGCAGAAUCAGCUGAGCUCCAUGCUGAACGGGGCUGGUCAGAAAGAGCCUGUCAUUGACCUGAAAUCUGAGGAACGAGCCUGUAUCCAGUUGUCUUUCUGCGACUAUACGCUGAAGUGCACAUGCCAAAGCUCCAAGAGAGCAGCUCGAAAUCAUCUGAGUGAACGUAUACUGGGUCUGCUGGGGGUAAAGACAGAUAACAAUGCAUCUUUGAGAAACAGUUUAGAUGUGUGGUUCAGAAAGCAGAAUCUGCCACAGCCAGUGUUUGAGGACAUAGAAGAGGCGCUUGGAGCAAAGGCUACUUUCUCUGUUCAGUUAAGCUGCUGCAGUCCAGGCUGGGAAGACAGCUGGAAAACUGCAAAGUCGAAGCUGCUUCAAGAGCUCAAGCUCAGAUUUCGAUUUCUCAAUGACAAAAACAAUUGAAAUUGAUUUUAGCUGGAAAAAAACAUAUCUACCCAAAUUGCACUAUUGGUCUGCAUGCCCUAGCCACCUACUGUACCUUGACUUGUUCUGGUGAAGAUUUUCAAACCUGGCUUGCAAUUUUAUCUGUUUUAAGGUUUUUCUUUUUCUUUUUUUUAAUACAGAUAUUUACAUUCUUAAAUGUACAUUUAUUUUUACAAUUUUAAAUUUCCCUGGGAUUUAAAUCAAUGGCCAUGGCACUGAAUGAAACUAGAUGUAUUUUAAAGAUUUUAAAGAUUUAUACCAAAGGUAUACCAACUAAACCCUUUUAACAUCAGCAGAAAAUGACAAAUCAACAAAAUGUAAUUGUAUCGAAUGGAAAACCUGAAGUUUCAUUCCUUUUCCAAAAGGCACUGAUAUUGCACUGACUGAAAUCCAGAUUCAGUGGUUUGUUGUCUUUGCUGGAAAACUAAUUUUAAUCUACUACUGUGCAUAUGAUUUAAUGAGAUGAGCUACAUUUUUAACAGUUUGGUUGGUGAAGUGAAUUUAUUCAUUCCACAUUUGACUGCAGAGCCAUUUUACAGUAUCGACAUUUACUUGUGUUGGAAAAUUACCAGUAUGCAGCAGAUCUUCAUAGGCUUACGAGAGAAACUGAGUGGUACAAUGUGAAUUUUGAACACCAGCUUGUCAUUACAUUUAUUAAUCGUUUUUGGUUAAUAUUGCCCUUGAACUGUUGAUUGUGCAAUUUGAAACCUCUUUACAAUGAACUACAACAACUGUUUACAAAAAGCUAUACUUUAUCAAAUACAGUGAGGAUAGAAAAUGCAUUAUUGAUUGAAUAGUAAUGCAAUUCAUUUUUACUGUAUUACAGUUCAUAAUCUACAAAUAAAAUAAAUUAUUUUUAAAAUCAGUAUUUCAUGUCCACAUUUUCUAUGAAAUGGUAAGCAGCCAGUAAUGUACAGUCAGCCAGUCAUUAUCAUAAAAUAACACCCUUCAUUUUGGAAAAAUGACAUUAAUCUUGUGGUUAAAUCUGUGAAAUCUAGGGGCUGAAUACUCUUACAAAAGAUGUUGCAAAGAUGAUAAUUCACAAUAAAUACCAAAAACCC
rnacentral:lncRNA from 1 species